AAUGAAGUUUAUGUAAUUUCACAAACAGUAGAGUUAAUGAGUUUUUCCAUUAACAAGAAUUUCUUAAAAUAAUAAUGUAUGGAUAUCAUUUGGAAAGUGACAUGAAAUGUUGUUAAAAAGUGAUGCAUACAAGUGUUUCAGAAGUCUGUCUAGGAAUAGAACAACAACUGAAGCUCAGACCAGUUGAUGGAAGAUACUGCAGAGUUUGGCAGGGAAAUAACCCAAGACAGCAAAGCGGCUCUUUUGGCGCAUUUACCAAGAGGACUAACAUGGCCACAAAUUCAUGAGAUCAUGCAGGAGCCGUACAGUAUAACAGCAGUACAAGUUCUAUAAAAGAUCCACGACCUACUGAAGCCCAGCUAAUUAACUAAAAAGUUUUUAAAAACUGUAAUUUUAUCCCACCUGGGUACUUAUAAUUUACUAAGCUGCCUACACAAGUUUUAGACUUGCAAUUACAUUUUAAAUUGUCACUUGGAAAGUAAUACAUGUACAUGCAUUAUGUUCUGAAUUUCUUUGAACAAUAAAAUUAUAUAAAAGUAUUUUAAUUAAAUUAAGCACCUAAAUUGCAUUAAAGUGAAAGUAGCUGAGAACAAGAUGUGUUUGUGAAACACAAUGUCCCCCUAUAUGACGUUUGACCUUGAAGGAUGACCUUGACCUUGACCCUUUACCACUCAAAAUGUGCAACUCCAUAAGAUACACAUGCAUGUCAAAUAUAAAAUUGCUAGCUUUAAUAUUGCAGAAGUUACAUUACAUGAGCAAUUUUGACCCAUAUAUUUGACCUAGAAGGAUUACCUUGACCUUGACCUUUCACCACUCAAAAUGUGCAGCUCCAUAAGUUACACAUGCAUGCCAAAUAUUAAGUUGCUAUCUUCAAUAUUGCAAAAGUUUUCAUAAAAUAAGCGAUUUGGGCCACAUAUAUUUGACCUCUGACCUUGAAGGUUGACCUUGACCUUUCACCACUCAAAAUGUGCAGCUCCAUAAGUUACACAUGCAUGCAAAAUAUCAAGUUGCUAUCUUCAAUAUUGCAAAAGUAUUCAUAAAAUAAGCGAUUUGGGCCACAUAUAUUUGAACUCUGACCUUGAAGGAUGACCUUGACCUUUCACCACUCAAAAUGUGCAGCUCCAUGAGAUACACAUGCAUGCCAAAUAUCAAGUUGCUAUCUUCAAUAUUGCAAAAGUAUUCAUAAAAUAAGCGAUUUGGGCCACAUAUAUUUGACCUCUGACCUUGAAGGAUGACCUUGACCUUGACCUUUCACCACUCAAAAUGUGCAGCUCCAUGAGAUACACAUGCAUGCCAAAUAUCAAGUUGCUAUAUUCAAUAUAGCAAAAGUUAUUGCAAAAUGUUAAAAGUUGGCGCAAACCAACCAACCAACCAACAGACCAACCAACCAACAGACCAACCAACAGACAGGGCAAAAACAAUAUGUCCCCCACUACUAUAGUGGGGGACAUAAAAAUAGUAUCCUUGUGCUCAUGGGCAGCUACAUAUAUUGUGACAUACAUGAAGCAGCUAAAAUAACUUAAAUUUUUCAUUUUGUUUCUUGUAUAUCGUUUGUACAGGGUUCGUGAAUUGUUACUGUAUAUUACUUGACUUGCUUGUAUUUUGUUACUUUGAAUACAUGUUGUGAAGGUUGCAUUAUACUUUUUAACUUUUAAAGUAGCGCCUGUUCUGUUAUGUAAUGGCCUGAUUUAUGAUAAUGGACCUAGAGGCUUUGUAAGCAUGUAUUAAACAACACUUGUUUGAUCUGAAUAAUUUGUUGA